GGAAGCGUGCCUGAGUGGUUGAAAGGGGCGGUCUUGAAAACCGCUAUCGCUUUUAUGGCGAUCGGAGGUUCGAAUCCUCCCGCUUCCGC
rnacentral:tRNA from 1 species